CCUACGGGAGGCAGCAGUGAGGAAUAUUGGUCAAUGGGCGAGAGCCUGAACCAGCCAAGUAGCGUGCAGGAUGACGGCCCUAUGGGUUGUAAACUGCUUUUGUAUGGGGAUAAAGUCAGUCACGUGUGAUUGUUUGCAGGUACCAUACGAAUAAGGACCGGCUAAUUCCGUGCCAGCAGCCGCGGUAAUACGGAAGGUCCAGGCGUUAUCCGGAUUUAUUGGGUUUAAAGGGAGCGUAGGCCGGAGAUUAAGUGUGUUGUGAAAUGUAGACGCUCAACGUCUGACUUGCAGCGCAUACUGGUUUCCUUGAGUACGCACAACGUUGGCGGAAUUCGUCGUGUAGCGGUGAAAUGCUUAGAUAUGACGAAGAACUCCGAUUGCGAAGGCAGCUGACGGGAGCGCAACUGACGCUUAAGCUCGAAGGUGCGGGUAUCAAACAGGAUUAGAUACCCUUGUAGUC
rnacentral:rRNA from 1 species